GCACCAUGGCAGGCAGCACCAAGGCCUUUAGUGGCAGUGUUAGUAUUAGUGUACAAGUAACUCUCGAUUUACGCAAGUAUUGUGUCCUUGAAGAGGUCACGUAAAUCAAAAACAAUGUAAAUCAAACAAGAGGCAGGUUUGUACCUUUAUUGCCAACUGUAUCACUCUGACUCCUCUCCCUCUCGUGGUUCCUCCUCUGGCUGCCCUUCCCCUCGUGGUAGCACAGCAGCGAGGGUGUUGUUGUUGUUGUUGAGUAGCGUGGGUACUGUAUUGUUGUUCAAGUGGCGCGCGGGAAGAACUGAGCUCAGCUGUGUGGCCGUGUGAGUCCAGUUGCGUGAGACAUCUGGUGGCCACUCCAUAAAAUAUCGCGUAUAAGUGAAAAAAAACGUGUAAAUUAAACAUUUAUUUGGAUUCUGGACCACGCGUUAUUUCAAAAACACGUAAACCAAACUCGCGUAAAUCGAGAGUUACCUGUACCAGUAUUGGCGAUGACACAUGCUUUGUUGAUCUUAGGGUCACACUACCUCUAAAAUCUUACUAACACAUGCGCUGCCCCACUCCUGUUGACCUUCAGAGGUGUGUAGGUAAGGUGAGAGGCAGAGAGAGACCCGGUGUGCCAGAUGUCCAGAGUGAGGACCGGCAGACACUUGCUAACUCUUAUAAAUCAUAGUUGUUCCACCAUGCCUUGGAGCACCUCUUUGUGAUUGGCCUUAACAUGAGUUGUAUUGAGUAGUGCAACCAGUGACAUAGUUCAGCUGCUAAUAAUUGCGCACUUACAAAAUUAUGGGCCACUGACAGAAGCUCCCCUCCUCCUCCUCCUCCCAGCAGUGAAAGGGUACCAGGUAUUAAUCGAGGGUUGUGUCCCGUCUCCUGGGGUCUGUUCCCUUCUCCUAUAAUUCCUUCCCCCUCUGUCUCUCACCGGCAUAUGACCACAGAUGUUGCGCCGACUGAACGAAACUUUCCAACUUUUCCUCCUCCUCCUCCUCCAACUCUUCCUCUUUUCCGAUACCCUAUGCCCCUGUCCACCCAGCAGUGAAUGGGUACUACCAGGUAUUAAUCGGGGGUUGUGUCCCGUCUCCUGGGGUCUGUUCCCUUCUCCUAUAAUUCCUUCCCCUUCUGUCUCUCUCCGGCAUACGACCACAGAUGUUGCGCCGACUAAACGAAACCUUCCAACUUUUCUUCCUCCUCCUCCUCCUCCUCCUUACCCAUGGGAAGCGACAAACUUGCCUGCUGGGGUUGUUUUAUUCUUUCAAUCUUGUUUGUAUAUUUUUUUUUUAUGUGGGGACAAUAUUACUGCCACAUAUUCCAACAUGGGAGGGACCAGCAUUAUGUGUCUCAGGAAGUCUUUCAUCUACGUACUCUGCCAGGCUCCCUUUCAGUCCUUCUAUAUGCUUCAGCUUUCAUAUAAGUCUUGUGUGGUACUUUGCCUAAUGCCUCAUCCAGGUCUGAGUUCACACAAUCUAGCCAAAUGCCUCUCUCCUGUAACACGUCAAUCAGCCUUGCAUAUACACAACCAGGGUCCCUUUCAGUCCUUCUAUAUGCUUCAGCUUUCAUAUAAGUCUUGUGUAGUACUUUGCCUAAUGCCUCAUCCAGGUCUGAGUUCACACAAUCUAGCCAAAUGCCUCUCUCCUGUAACAUGUCAAUCAGCCUUGGAUCCCUUUCAGUCCUUCUAUAUGCUCCAGUUCUCAUAUUAGUCCUGUGUGGUAGUACUUUGCCUAAUGCCUCAUCCAGGUCUGAGUUCACACAAUCUAGCCAAAUGCCUCUCUCCUGUAACAUGUCAAUCAGCCUUGGAUC